rnacentral:rRNA from 2 species
AGUCGAGCGGACAGAAGGGAGCUUGCUCCCGGACGUUAGCGGCGGACGGGUGAGUAACACGUGGGCAACCUGCCCCUUAGACUGGGAUAACUCCGGGAAACCGGAGCUAAUACCGGAUAAUCCCUUUCUCCACCUGGAGAGAGGGUGAAAGAUGGCUUUGGCUAUCACUAGGGGAUGGGCCCGCGGCGCAUUAGCUAGUUGGGAAGGUAACGGCUUACCAAGGCAACGAUGCGUAGCCGACCUGAGAGGGUGAUCGGCCACACUGGGACUGAGACACGGCCCAGACUCCUACGGGAGGCAGCAGUAGGGAAUCUUCCGCAAUGGACGAAAGUCUGACGGAGCAACGCCGCGUGAGUGAGGAAGGCCUUCGGGUCGUAAAGCUCUGUUGUGAGGGAAGAAACGGUACCGUUCGAAUAGGGCGGUACCUUGACGGUACCUCACCAGAAAGCCACGGCUAACU